rnacentral:rRNA from 1 species
AUUGAACGCUGGCGGCAUGCUUUACACAUGCAAGUCGAACGGUAACAGGCCGCAAGGUGCUGACGAGUGGCGAACGGGUGAGUAAUGCAUCGGAACGUGCCCAGUCGUGGGGGAUAACUACUCGAAAGAGUAGCUAAUACCGCAUACGAUCUAUGGAUGAAAGCGGGGGACCGUAAGGCCUCGCGCGAUUGGAGCGGCCGAUGUCAGAUUAGGUAGUUGGUGGGGUAAAGGCUCACCAAGCCAACGAUCUGUAGCUGGUCUGAGAGGACGACCAGCCACACUGGGACUGAGACACGGCCCAGACUCCUACGGGAGGCAGCAGUGGGGAAUUUUGGACAAUGGGCGCAAGCCUGAUCCAGCAAUGCCGCGUGCAGGAAGAAGGCCUUCGGGUUGUAAACUGCUUUUGUACGGAGCGAAACGGCUCUGGUUAAUACCCGGGGCUAAUGACGGUACCGUAAGAAUAAGCACCGGCUAACUACGUG